rnacentral:rRNA from 1 species
GACGAACGCUGGCGGCGUGCUUAACACAUGCAAGUCGAACGGAAAGGCCCUGCUUUUGUGGGGUGCUCGAGUGGCGAACGGGUGAGUAACACGUGAGUAACCUGCCCUUGACUUUGGGAUAACUUCAGGAAACUGGGGCUAAUACCGGAUAGGAGCUCCUGCUGCAUGGUGGGGGUUGGAAAGUUUCGGCGGUUGGGGAUGGACUCGCGGCUUAUCAGCUUGUUGGUGGGGUAGUGGCUUACCAAGGCUUUGACGGGUAGCCGGCCUGAGAGGGUGACCGGCCACAUUGGGACUGGGAUGCGGCCCAGACUCCUACGGGAGGCAGCAGUGGGGAAUAUUGCACAAUGGGCGGAAGCCUGAUGCAGCAACGCCGCGUGCGGGAUGACGGCCUUCGGGUUGUAAACCGCUUUCGCCUGUGACGAGGCGUGAGUGACGGUAAUGGGUAAAGAAGCACCGGCUAACUACGUG